UGCACUUGGAAAAACUGUGACAUUCUAUAACGCAUGGGGACAAGAAAGUCGCUCAACUACUGGAAAAUUGACUGACGGAGAUAGAAAUGAUACCUGCGAAAUUUUAAAAGGCCGUCGGUUUUAUAUUGAAAUCAACUUUCAAAAGACCUACAGCAUUGAAGUAUCGAGACUUCUAUUUAAAGGGAGUGUUCACACAAACGGAACGGUUUUCUAUUACUCCGACUCUCAUGGAUGGCCUUUUCAAGUUUAUCAAUCCUACGAAACUGAAAUUCCACAUACAGUUGAGUUUGAGGUUCAGCGCACGGCAUAUUCAAUUAAAUUCAACAUAUGGGAUGGUUAUGGAAGUACAUUAGAAUUUGAACUAUGCGAAAUAGAGAUAAGCGGGUGCGAAAUUGACCGUUAUGGAAGCGACUGUCAGUCUUGUAAUAAGUCUGAUAAUUGUGAAGUAUGUGAUAUUAAGAAUGGCGCAUGCUACAUCUGCAGAGAAGGCUACACGGGAGCGGAUUGCACAAUAAG